rnacentral:ncRNA from 2 species
AGGGUGAGUAGAGGUGCGGUCCUCAAGAGUACUUUCAGGGAGAGUGGCGUCAGGAUCUGAAAGGAAAGGGAUGACCGCCGAAGUACGAAAGAAUGCCAAGCUUUCGUGCUGGUGUUGCGCCGAACAGGUGUAACACUGUCACCAAAGUUAUUUUGGUGGAGCGCUAUCUCAACU